rnacentral:rRNA from 1 species
AGUGAACGCUGGCGGUAGGCCUAACACAUGCAAGUCGAACGGCAGCACAGUAAGAGCUUGCUCUUACGGGUGGCGAGUGGCGGACGGGUGAGGAAUACAUCGGAAUCUACUUUUUCGUGGGGGAUAACGUAGGGAAACUUACGCUAAUACCGCAUACGACCUACGGGCGAAGGCAGGGGAUCUUCGGACCUUGCGCGAUUGAAUGAGCCGAUGUCGGAUUAGCUAGUUGGCGGGGUAAAGGCCCACCAAGGCGACGAUCCGUAGCUGGUCUGAGAGGAUGAUCAGCCACACUGGAACUGAGACACGGUCCAGACGCCUACGGGAGGCAGCAGUGGGGAAUAUUGGACAAUGGGCGCAAGCCUGAUCCAGCCAUACCGCGUGGGUGAAGAAGGCCUUCGGGUUGUAAAGCCCUUUUGUUGGGAAAGAAAAGCAGCAGGUUAAUACCCCGCUGUUCUGACGGUACCCAAAGAAUAAGCACCGGCUAACUUCGU